rnacentral:rRNA from 1 species
CAGUAGCCACGGUAAUACGGAGGGAGCUAGCGUUGUUCGGAAUUACUGGGCGUAAAGCGCGCGUAGGCGGUUACUCAAGUCAGAGGUGAAAGCCCGGGGCUCAACCCCGGAACUGCCUUUGAAACUAGGUGACUAGAAUCUUGGAGAGGUCAGUGGAAUUCCGAGUGUAGAGGUGAAAUUCGUAGAUAUUCGGAAGAACACCAGUGGCGAAGGCGACUGACUGGACAAGUAUUGACGCUGAGGUGCGAAAGCGUGGGGAGCAAACAGGAUUAGAUACCCGCGUAGUCCCUGUCUCUUAUAA